CGAAGGGGCUAGCGUUGUUCGGAAUUACUGGGCGUAAAGGGCGCGUAGGCGGUGCUUCAAGUCAGGCGUGAAAGCCCCGGGCUCAACCUGGGAACCGCGCUUGAGACUGGAGGACUAGAGUUCGGGAGAGGAUGGUGGAAUUCCCAGUGUAGAGGUGAAAUUCGUAGAUAUUGGGAAGAACACCGAUGGCGAAGGCAGCCAUCUGGACCGACACUGACGCUGAGGCGCGAAAGCGUGGGGAGCAAACAGGAUU
rnacentral:rRNA from 1 species